rnacentral:rRNA from 1 species
GACGAACGCUGGCGGCGUGCUUAACACAUGCAAGUCGAACGGAGAAUUUAUUUCGGUAAAUUCUUAGUGGCGAACGGGUGAGUAACGCGUGGGCAACCUGCCCUUCAGAUGGGGACAACAUCCCGAAAGGGGUGCUAAUACCGAAUACGAUUACGCUGCCGCAUGGCGGUGUGAUGAAAGAUGGCCUCUAUUUAUAAGCUAUCGCUGAAGGAUGGGCCUGCGUCUGAUUAGCUAGUUGGUGGGGUAACGGCCUACCAAGGCGAUGAUCAGUAGCCGGUCUGAGAGGAUGAACGGCCACAUUGGGACUGAGACACGGCCCAAACUCCUACGGGAGGCAGCAGUGGGGAAUAUUCCGCAAUGGACGAAAGUCUGACGGAGCAACGCCGCGUGAGUGAUGAAGGUUUUCGGACUGUAAAGCUCUGUUGUUUAGGACGAAAGUGCCUGUUGCAAAUAGUUGCAGGUAUUGGCGGUACUGAACGAGGAAGCCACGGCUAACUACGUGCCAGCAGCCGCAGUAA